rnacentral:rRNA from 1 species
GACAGAGGGUGCAAACGUUGUUCGGAAUUACUGGGCGUAAAGCGUGUGUAGGCGGUCAUGUAAGUCGGAUGUGAAAGCCCCCGGGCUCAACCCGGGAAGUGCACUCGAUACUGCGUGACUUGAGUAUCGGAGAGGUUGGUGGAAUUCUCGGUGUAGAGGUGAAAUUCGUAGAUAUCGAGAGGAACACCGGCGGCGAAGGCGGCCAACUGGACGAAUACUGACGCUGAGACACGAAAGCGUGGGGAGCAAACAGG